GCGCACGGCCAUAGCGAUGGGGAAAUACCCGGUCCCAUUUCGAACCCGGAAGUCAAGCCCAUCUGCGUCGAUUCCUGUACUGUGGUGCGAGAGCCCACGGGAACGUUCGUCGCUGUGCCUC
rnacentral:rRNA from 1 species